GCCUGGGUGGCUCAGUUGGUUAAGUGUCCGACUUUUGCUCAGGUCAUGAUCUCACAGUUCGUGGGUUCAAGCCCCACGUCGGGCU
rnacentral:tRNA from 1 species